UGCCUGCCAGUGACUUAAUUCAACGGCCGCGGUAUUUUGACCGUGCAAAGGUAGCGCAAUCACUUGUCUUUUAAAUGAAGACCUGUAUGAAUGGCAAGACGAGGGCUUAACUGUCUCCUUUUUCAAGUCAAUGAAAUUGAUCCCCCCGUGCAGAAGCGGGGAUACUACCAUAAGACGAGAAGACCCUAUGGAGCUUUAGACGCUAAAGCAGCUCUUGUCAAUACCCUAAAAAUAAUUAGACUAAACUCUGAGAACCCUGCUUCAAUGUCUUUGGUUGGGGCGACCACGGGGAAGUAAACAACCCCCGCGUGGAAUAAGAGAACAUCUCUUACAACCAAGAGCCACUGCUCUAAGUAACAGAAUAUCUGACCAUAACGAUCCGGUAAAACCGAUCAACGGACCGAGUUACCCUAGGGAUAACAGCGCAAUCCUCUUUUAGAGUUCAUAUCGACAAGGGGGUUUACGACCUCGAUGUUGGAUCAGGACAUCCUAAUGGUGCAGCCGCUAUUAAGGGUUCGUUUGUUCAACGAUUAAAGUCCUACGUGAUCUGAGUUCAGACC
rnacentral:rRNA from 1 species